CAAAAACCACGGAAAAAACAUCGCCCACAUCCCAAACCAAAGCCUGUACCAAGUCCUGAAGUAACCGAGUCCAAACCAGUUCCUCCAAGAGAACGUGAACCUGUGACACUCAAAACUGAGACUUGGGUGACAACAAAAGCUCCUAAAACACCAAAACGAACCCGUCGUCCACGUCCCAAACCUCAAACCACACCAACUCCUGAGACUCCUCUAACCAAACCUGGUAAAUUGAGUGUCUGGUCACAGGGAUACUUAUAGAAGCUCUGGGGAAGCCAUAAGGAAGUCCAAUGGUAGAAUGAUGAGCUCGUGGGAGAUUA